rnacentral:rRNA from 1 species
GCUUAGAGUUUGAUCCUGGCUCAGGAUGAACGCUGGCGGCGUGCUUAACACAUGCAAGUCGAACGGUCUCUUCGGAGAUAGUGGCGGACGGGUGAGUAACGCGUGAGAAUCUGCCUUUAGGUUCGGGACAACAGUUGGAAACGACUGCUAAUACCGAAUGUGUCGCAAGAUGAAAGAUUUAUUGCCUAAAGAUGAGCUCGCGUCUGAUUAGCUAGUUGGUGGGGUAAAAGCGUACCAAGGCGACGAUCAGUAGCUGGUCUGAGAGGAUGAUCAGCCACACUGGGACUGAGACACGGCCCAGACUCCUACGGGAGGCAGCAGUGGGGAAUUUUCCGCAAUGGGCGAAAGCCUGACGGAGCAACGCCGCGUGAGGGAGGAAGGCUUUUGGGUUGUAAACCUCUUUUAUCAAGGAAGAUAAUGACGGUACUUGAUGAAUCAGCAUCGGCUAACUCCGUGCCAGCAGCCGCGGUAAUACGGAGGAUGCAAGCGUUAUCCGGAAUAAUUGGGCGUAAAGCGUUCGUAGGUGGUUUUGCAAGUCUGCUGUUAAAGCGUGUAGCUUAACUACAUAAUGGCGGUGGAAACUGCAAAACUAGAGUGCGUUCGGGGCAGAGGGAAUUCCUGGUGUAGCGGUGAAAUGCGUAGAUAUCAGGAAGAACACCGGUGGCGAAGGCGCUCUGCUAGGCCGCAACUGACACUGAGGGACGAAAGCUAGGGGAGCGAAUGGGAUUAGAUACCCCAGUAGUC